AAAUGAAUAGACGGGGACCCGCACAAGCGGUGGAGCAUGUGGUUUAAUUCGAAGCAACGCGAAGAACCUUACCUGAUCUUGACAUCCCACUGACCGGACAGUAAUGUGUCCUUUCCUUCGGGACAGUGGUGACAGGUGGUGCAUGGUUGUCGUCAGCUCGUGUCGUGAGAUGUUGGGUUAAGUCCCGCAACGAGCGCAACCCUUAUCUUUAGUAGCCAGCAGUAAGAUGGGCACUCUAGAGAGACUGCCAGGGAUAACCUGGAGGAAGGUGGGGAUGACGUCAAAUCAUCAUGCCCCUUAUGACCAGGGCUACACACGUGCUACAAUGGCGUAAACAAAGAGAAGCAAACACGUGAGUGCAAGCAAAUCUCAAAAAUAACGUCUCAGUUCGGAUUGUAGUCUGCAACUCGACUACAUGAAGCUGGAAUCGCUAGUAAUCGCGAAUCAGAAUGUCGCGGUGAAUACGUUCCCGGGUCUUGCACACACCGCCCGU
rnacentral:rRNA from 1 species